UGAGGCCACCCCUACUACUAUUGUGCCAACGGUCUAAAAGCACCAGUACUUUUUGGCAGGUUCAAAGGAACCCCACCCUUCUCAAUCUUCUCCACUGCCACCCUUACGCUUCUCUUGCGACCAACUUCAAUUCUUACUUUCGACUGCCACGCACCAAGAUAUCUUUCUUGGAGGUAUCUCGCCUAUUUUGAACAGCUCGAGCCCUAAAUUUGAAAGGAAAUUUAAAGAUGGAAAACGCGUCUCUUGCGAGUAGUUUGCCAGCGUCUACUCUGGAUCGCAUUGCACAACAAAAAGGCGGCGUGUGGUUUAUCACCGACCAAGCUGAGGAUCAUUUCACUUUGGGAUACGUGAUGGAUCAAGAAACUCGCGCCGUUGCGUUCAGAAUGUAUCCUUGCAUGACUGAGAAGGAAAUUUUCAAUUUAUGCGAAACUGAAGUUUACCAAUAUAACACUAAUACCACUGGCGGCAAUUCCAGCCUCCAAUCCGAGGCUAAAGAACAGCCAUUGCACCUUAUUCUUUGUCCUCACCAGGCAGUCACCGUAGAUCACAGACCGCUGGAUCUUGUUGACAAAAUCCCAAUCAGCGAUCCUGGCCUAGUACAAAUUGCAGCAGUGACACAAGAUGAUGGGAUCUCAUUGGAACUCGAAAAGUCGCUCUUCGAUAACCAAGGCCGACAAAAUGACAGCAAUGAAGACUAUAACUGGUCCACAACCGCUGAAAUUUUUAAUAAUGUAACUCAGAUGGCUAUCAACGAGACUUCUUCUCCAACUUUCCUCUCUUUGAUCUCAACUUGAUGAUGGGACCCGAUUUGAACUGCAUUUCUUCGAAUUCUGGGGAUACGACGCUCACGAAUGGUAAUAAUGAGGAAUUCAUGGACUGGAAUACGUUCCGCCAGAGUUGACUAUACUCCAGAAUUGAGAUUAGUGCGUAAGGUGGAUCAAAAAAUUGUUACUAUCGGCAAAUAGUUUCCCAAAAUGACGGAUUUGACAAUAUGUCAACCUAUAAUGUCUCCUCUACUGAAUUUCAGACUGGGUCGAGAAAAUGAGUGAUCAGAUAAGAUAAGAAAAAGCGGUUUUCUUCUUAAAUCUUUCUUUCCCUCGAUUUUCCAGCUGCCGUCGAAGAGAUAGCCUCGUCGACAAGCGGUUUUCAAAGACAGAAAAAGACUGGAAAGUGUGAACAGGGAAUACCGGGGCGCAGGGACCCCGGACAGAGGCCAAGCAAUGCACAGACAGGGGCGACGCAGGCGGCAGGAAACGACUGCAGCGUCGCUUAUUACAUCUAUGCGUCUUCCGUCUGGGAAAAAAGGUGGGAAUGGCAUGCGCCCUGCCACGUGGGAGCGAAAUCAUCAACCUGGACUAGCAGGGCGGGUGAGAGGAUGGAACCAGAUGAGGACAGCGGCAAAAGCAAAGAAGAGAGAUGAAGAGUGGCAUGUGUUCAAACUGCUGGUGGGAGAGGGGAAAGGGGAGGGGAACGGGGGAGGGAUGUAAGAUGAUCAACAAGGCCCGGACUGGCAAAGAAGAAAGGACUGUCGGCCGAGAACGGGCUAAAUUAUUUGUUCCACUUCCCUCACUUGCUUGAAUUUUGACAGACAAAACCUUGGCCGACGCGCGCGCACACAAUAAAAGGAUGGGGCGUGCGUCCGUUCUCAAGCUGUGUACGAGUGUCCAGACCACGAGUCAGCUGUUGGCUAGGCCCCCCGUUUCCUGAGGAGGUGCCGAGAGGGAUCGCUUGACGCGAAAGGGUGAAAAGAGAAAGAGACGGAGACCUCCGCCCUCAAGACUGCUCGUCUCUCCCUCAAGACCUUAGUUACCGGGCUGGAAAACCUAUUCAAUACAUGCACCUAUUGUCAGUCGCUUGGCAGCCGUCCUCGAUUUGGGGAGCGUAUCCCACAGCAACGCAAGCUUUAUGAGCCGAUAAUUUCGAAAGCGGCAGGUGGAGUCGAGCUAGAUAGUCGACUUAGAAAAGGGGUGGCGGCGCAGGCCGUCGCCGUCCCGGGAAGAAGAACGCACAGAAGAGGGGAGGGACUUCAUUCACUCCAACAUCCCGUUUCGCCAACCAAAGAUUUUUCGCAGACGACAGAUAGACAGAGAAACAUC
rnacentral:misc_RNA from 1 species